rnacentral:rRNA from 1 species
GUACACUCCUACGGGAGGCAGCAGUGAGGAAUAUUGGACAAUGGGUGGCAGCCUGAUCCAGCCAUCCCGCGUGCAGGAAGACGGCCCUAUGGGUUGUAAACUGCUUUUAUCUGGGGAUAAACCUACUUACGUGUAAGUAGCUGAAGGUACCAGAAGAAUAAGCACCGGCUAACUCCGUGCCAGCAGCCGCGGUAAUACGGAGGGUGCAAGCGUUAUCCGGAUUUAUUGGGUUUAAAGGGUCCGUAGGCGGACUGAUAAGUCAGUGGUGAAAUCCGACAGCUUAACUGUCGAACUGCCAUUGAUACUGUUAGUCUUGAGUAAGGUUGAAGUGGCUGGAAUAAGUAGUGUAGCGGUGAAAUGCAUAGAUAUUACUUAGAACACCAAUUGCGAAGGCAGGUCACUAAGUCUUAACUGACGCUGAUGGACGAAAGCGUGGGGAGCGAACAGGAUUAGAAACCCCGGUAGUCCC